rnacentral:lncRNA from 1 species
CAGAAAUACCGCUACUACCUUCCCACCUUUGCGCCUCAGUAAUUCAACCCACUGAGCCCAUCAUCUAUACAGGAGAUACCCGCCCCCCAUACAGGACGGUGGAGCAUAACUCCCACUCCCUGAGGGUGGGCUGUGCCUAGUGACCUGCGAAGAGGACAGGAUGGACGGGGCAGCUACAGUGAGAAGCCUGACAACCACCCCUCAGCCAGGUGACCAAGGUCAACACCACAGGGAUCCGUCCUGGUGACAGCACCUGCCCUGCUGGGAUGGGACGAGAAGGGCUCCUCCCCUCGGUGGUCCUCCUCCCAGACCCAUGGUCCCAGUCUAGUCAUGAGAGAAACAGCAGACAGAUCCCAGCUGAGGGGCUUCCUACAAGACACCUGCUCGGUCCUCCUGGAAACGGUUAAGGUCAUUGAAACAAGGGGGUCUGAGAAACUGUCCCUGCCCAGAGGAGCUAAGACGACACGACGACCAAAUGUACUGUGGGCUCCUGGACGGGGCCCUGAGACAGAGAACGGACAUUAGGUACAAACCAAGGAGACCAAAACAUGGAUUUUAGUUAACAAUAAUGUAUCAAUACGGGCUCAUUAAUUGUAACAAAUGUACCAUGCCAAUGUAAAAAAUUAAUAAUAGAGAAGCUGGGGGCCGGCUAUAUGGGAACUCUGUACUAUCUUCAGUUUUUCUGUAAAUCUCAAACUGUUCUAAGAAAUAAAGUUUAUUUAAAAAAAAUAGUCCUGCAAAAUAAAAGGAGUUGAGGGAGGAGAGAGAGGAAAGAAGACUGGCGGAGAGGCGACAAUUGUUGAAGGUGGGUGAUGGGAUGGAGAUGAGCAGCCUCUCGAAGCCUAUCUCUGGCAUGCAUGAUGCUGGGAAACGUGGCUAGAGAUGAGGAAUUGCUGCUGGCACUCAGACAUCACCCGGUCCAGGAAGUGGUCCCAGAGCAAGCAGACGUGCCCUGUCACAGCUGGUGUCCCUGACUGAGUGAGCAUGGGUCCUGCUUGUUAAGCCAUGUCGCUGAGACCACUCAAGACUAUUCUUUUACAAACUCUUCUGGAGUUUCGCUGCCUCCUCCGCU